GGAGAGAUGGCCGAGAGGCUUAAGGCGCAGUUUUGGAAAAACUGUUUAUUGUAAAAACGCAAUUUCUAGGGUUCGAAUCCCUAUCUCUCCG
rnacentral:tRNA from 1 species